AUGGCCGCGGGGCGGUUCGCGUACUGGCGGUCGAACACCAAGAACUGGCAUGAGGAUGAAGAGAAGAUAUAUGUGCUUGACACGAAAACCAUGGUGUGGUCGGUUAUAACCGCGCCGUUCCCGGUUGGCGAGUCGUACUGCGUGGCGGACAUGGCGGAGCACGGCGGGUUGUGCAUCGUGUCUAGCAAGGAGCAAAGCGUGCUGCUCUGGGUCCGUGAUGUGAAUGGUUGGUGGGUGGUCAAGAAGGAGGUCCCCUUGCUGAAACAGUUCGGGUACUUGAAGAGGAUUCGUCGUGACGAAUGGAUGAAGAGGCUGCGCAUCCUCGCAAUGAAAGCCGGCUAUGUCUACAUUGAGUUUUGGUCCAUAAGGAAGUCUGAAUCCUAUAUUCUUGUGCUCAAUCUGAACACCGUCAAGCUGCAACAAAUCUUUUGCAACAAUGCGGAUGAGCGCUACAGAGGUGCUGCUUUUCCAUUCUUUCUGCGGUUGUCACCACUGCCUGCCGCAGAUGAUGACAAGGAGCUUCAAGAUGCUUGA
rnacentral:rRNA from 1 species